rnacentral:lncRNA from 1 species
AUAACUGAAAUAUGAAAUAGAGAACAAACUGAACUUCGACCUGGCUAUGUUGAGGACCCUGCCAAUGGGGGCAGAUACGUUGGCAAUUGACUGUCCUGAAGGACUCACCGCAAAAAGAUUAGUCAGUGUUGAUGACCCUGCCACAGGGAACAUGUGGUCACAGUCCAGGAUCGACAAGAUGAAUUGAAUAUGUAAAAGAAUCUUGAAACCGCGAAAAGAAUCUUAUGAAUU